UGCAUGUCUAAGUUCACACUGUAGCACGGUGAAACCGCGAAUGGCUCAUUAAAUCAGUCGAGGUUUACUAGAUGAAAAGUAUCCUACUUGGAUAACUGUGGCAAUUCUAGAGCUAAUACAUGCAAUCAAGCUCCGACCCUCGCGGAAAGAGCGCUUUUAUUAGUUCAAAACCAAUCGCCGUUCGCCCUUCGCGGGGUGGCGGCGUCCCGAUUGGUGACUCUGGAUAACUUUGUGCUGAUCGCAUGGCCUUUGCGCCGGCGACGCAUCUUUCAAAUGUCUGCCCUAUCAAAUGUCGAUGGUACGUGAUAUGCCUACCAUGUUUGUAACGGGUAACGGGGAAUCAGGGUUCGAUUCCGGAGAGGGAGCAUGAGAAACGGCUACCACAUCCAAGGAAGGCAGCAGGCGCGCAACUUACCCACUCCCGGCACGGGGAGGUAGUGACGAAAAAUAACAAUACGGGACUCUUUCGAGGCCCCGUAAUUGGAAUGAGUACACUUUAAACCCUUUAACGAGGAUCAAUUGGAGGGCAAGUCUGGUGCCAGCAGCCGCGGUAAUUCCAGCUCCAAUAGCGUAUAUUAAAGUUGUUGCAGUUAAAAAGCUCGUAGUUGGAUCUCAGGCGCAGGCGGGCGGUCCGGCUCGCGCCGGCUCACUGCCCGUUGUCUCCUGCCCUACCCGUCUGCCGGCUCUCUCCCGCGGGUGCUCUUCGCUGAGCGUCCCGGGUGGCCGGCGCGUUUACUUUGAAAAAAUUAGAGUGUUCAAAGCAGGCCGAGCUGCCUGAAUAAUGGUGCAUGGAAUAAUGGAAUAGGACCUCGGUUCUAUUUUGUUGGUUUUCGGAACUGGAGGUAAUGAUUAACAGGGACAAACGGGGGCAUUCGUAUUGCGGCGUUAGAGGUGAAAUUCUUGGAUCGCCGCAAGACGAACUACUGCGAAAGCAUUUGUCAAGAAUGUUUUCAUUAGUCAAGAACGAAAGUCAGAGGCGCGAAGACGAUCAGAUACCGUCGUAGUUCUGACCAUAAACUAUGCCACCUGGCCAUCCGCAGGAGUUGCUUCGAUGACUCUGCGGGCGGCCUCCGGGAAACCAAAGGUUUUGGGUUCCGGGGG
rnacentral:rRNA from 1 species